UCACAGACUAUUUGGAGCAAUUCUUCGUUAUAGGCAUGCAUGUGGCAUAUGUUAUCUAAUUAUUUGGUACAUUCACAUGGUUAUUGAAAGGAUGAAGAUGCCCAAAAGGGGAGAAGGGGGGUAUUGGGAUAAUCUAAAUUCUCAAAAAAAAAAAACCCUAGCAUUUGGCCUAUUUCACCCCUUGUGUCGAAUAGUCCAAUACUUGUGCAGCC
rnacentral:lncRNA from 1 species